GGGUCUGGGUUUGGGAUCCAAGUAGGCCCCGAGGUAUGCCUUAACUUUAUCUUUUCUGCAUAUUUUCAGUCUUUACACAGUGCAUCCAGAAAGUAUUCACAACGCUCAAUUUUUACGCAUUUUGUCAUGUUACAGACUUAUUCCAAAAUGGAGCAAAUAAACGCAGAAGGGAUUAAUUUUUUUUUUUUAAUCACAAGUCCAUGAAUAUAGUGAUACCUUGACUUAUGAGUUCCCCAAUGUAUGAGCUAAUUUAACUUGGGAGCCGUUGCUUGGUUGAAAUUUAUUAUUAUCAUCAUGUGCAUCUUCCCUCCCCAUAUGCCACCGCUCACUCAACUAAGGUACUGUCAUGUCCUCGCAUGUGGGCAAGGAGAGCCACAGUUGCCCAUGUGCUUCCAGCCAUUUAUUCAACCGGACAAAGUCAAACCAAAAUACAAAAUGAGAACAACAGCCAACUGGACCGCAGACCUUGAUGGCACUCAUUAAGCCACACCCUUCACACACAUUCAACACACGAAUAUUGCAGGAUGUACAGUAAUUACACUUAAUGAAGCCAGUUUAUUUCUUUGCAUGUUCAUGAUUAUUAUAUAAUGCAGUGCUGUAUGUCUUAAUUAAAAACCCAUAAAAAAUAUAUAAAUCAUUGCUUUAUAGGCUCGGCUACCGAACGAAUUAAACCAAGUUAAGGUGAGCUGUGUCCUGUUUCCACCAAUCAUGCUGUAGAUGAUUCUCCUGGUUACUUGGAGUUCACCGCUGCUGAAUAGUCGCUCGGUGGGACACGAUUUCGAAAGGCACACACACCUGCCUGUGUGGUCAAAAAGAUCAAUGUGUGAAUGAUUAUUCAUCAAUUGUGGAAUAAGGCUGUAACAUGUGAAUAAUAUCUAUUGAAAAAGUGAAGCUGUGACUACUUUCCAGUUAGACUGUAAAUGUGUGAAAAUCCCCUCACCUCCCCUCGGACAUUAACUCAUGACUCCAUCAUCAUUUCAUGUCAUCAUAUAUAGAGGCCAUCUCGUAUUAAAUACAGUGGAGCAAAAAGUUGCUUUUUCCCCCCUCCCCAUUGGAAAUAAUGCAAAAUGAUAUAUAGUUGAUGAUGUGAUCAUGCAAAUUUUCAUUCACCUUAUAUUGGUAUGAGCCCUACUGACAAUGUUUUGAUUGGCUGACUGUCAUGCACAUGUGAAUUAAGAUGUCCAAGUAAACCCGACCUUUAAAGACACCCAUAUAAUGGAGACAGAACAGGAGGGCUUUUAACAGAGUGAAUUCAAAAAGCGAUUGCAUUGGAGUCAGCGGUCAGGCAAUUUCCGUGAGAUUUUUUUGGGUUAUCAUUACACUUCGGAAAUUUUUGGGAGGUUGCACUUUACCCUCAGAAAUACAUUUGUCACUUUUUACAGG